AGUGAAGGCUGUCACCAAGCCACACUUGACAGCAGCCACAAAACAUCCCCUCCGGCUGCGAGAAGCCUCACCCUACAAUUUAAAACGCGUCCUUCUGCCAGCUGAGAGAGAGAGAGAGAGAGCACGCCAGCCUUCAUCUCAGCUGUGCUAUAUGAAAGUCCCAUUCCACUCCCCAACGAUUCCUUGAACCACUGAGUCACACGACCCCUCUGACUGUAGAAAGAUAAAAUGUUUGAGGCUAACAGCAAGUCAACAUUUACUUUAAAAUUAAAAAAAAAAAAAAACCCAAAACUUUUUUCAUCUGUUAGGGUGACAUCAACUAGUCUCUUUUCUUUCUUAAACAUAUAUUUAUUUAUGAAUAUGAUAUGAGUGGUCUAUUUACACGUACACCUGCGUGACAGAAAAGGGCACGGGCCCAUUGUAGAUGGUUGUGAGCCACCAUGUGGGUGCUGGGAAUUAGACUCAGGUCCCCUGGCAAAGCAGCCAGGGCCCUUAACCACUGAGCCAUCUCCCAGCUCAUCAGUCAUACACAGGGGUACACACAACGCAACAUGCAUAUCAGAGCGAGCAUGCAGGACCAGGUCCAGUCCACCUUGUUUUCUGGGACAGGGUCUCUGCAGCUCCCCCGCUAGGCUAGGCUGGCUGACCAGUGUGCCUUACGGAGCCUCCUAUCUCCCUGUCCUGGGGGAGACAAACGGAUGACAGCUGUGUGGCACCAUUCCUGGCUUUUUAUGUGGGCUCUGGGGGUUGAACUCAGGUCUUCCUGCUUCUCCAGUAGGCACCUUGCCAACAGAGCUACCGCCCAGCUCCAGCAAUUACUCUUUACUGAACACUAACCAUAAACUGUGUUCGGUGUUUAAAAGUCACCAUCUCAUCCGACCCUUGUCAUCUCUACGAAGCAUCAUCCUGCCCUUCCCAAGAGCUGUUCAGAGAGGUGCUGUAAGCUGCCUACAGUUACACAGCAACGACAGCAGCCAAGUCCACUCCACCCUCCACCGCAGCCUAUCAUUCCAAAGCCCCAAAGCAAAGCUCCGUAACACUUUCACAUAAGGAGUGGAUAGUUCAGGAUGGUUCACAGACUCCUCUUUCUCUCUUGACACCAACCCAAAAUAAACAAAUGCGUGACACAACGGGCCAGGGGAGGGAAACUUUCACAACCGAAAAAAUAAAGUAAAAACCCAAUGUCGGAGUCCCACCCAUCCCUUUGGAAAACACCGCUCCUAACUAGGACACCGGGUGUGCAAACCAGAUAUUUUGGUUUUCCAGUAGCUUCCCCGUUUUUAAAGCUCGACACACUCUACUGCUGAGUAACUUCACUAUGUAGUCUUCUCAGGUGCGGUCAGUCCUCCCCAUUUCCAUCCAUGGUAGAAGGACAUUUUGACUCAAAAUAAAUAAGUAAAUAAAUAAAUAAAUAAAAUCAAGAGUCCUGCUACAUUUAUUUGCCUUUUUCUUCCUCUAACAAGCUCCAGUUUUAAGCCAGGUAAGGAAGCACGCCCUUUAAUCCCAGCACUCGGGAGGCAGAACCAGGUGAAUCUUUGAGUUUGAAGCCAGUCUGGUCUACAGAGUGAGUUCCAGGACAGCCAGGGCUACACAGAGAAACCCUGUCUCAAAAAGAAAACCAAACAAACAAACCAACCUCUAGGUUUCCAGGGGGAGGAUGGUGAGGCUGGAGUCAGACUAUUUGACUCACUCCCCAGCGAUCCCUCCGCUAAGUACGAGUUUAUGUUGUUAGAUGUUCCACUUACAGAGCUCCAGGAGCUAUUCUCACUGAAACAGAAGAGUCACAUACAGCAAAGUGGCAGCUUGCAGGCAGGGUCACAUGCUGAGAGGCAUACCCAUCAUUUUAUUAUUAAGCUGGAAAGACACCCUGCACACGGCCAACAAAACGUCUCUCAGAAACGGCAGCGAGGCCAAGCAAGGACUGUCCUUUCUUGUGCAGGCACGGAAUUCUCAUUUAGUCAAGAAAGAUGGAUUUUUUUUUUUUGGUCCCUUAUUAUUCUCUGAAAAUAGACAGUGCCACAUGGAGACCACAAACUGAGGAAACUACAUCUCAGGGCAAGGAUCUAUGUGCCAAGCUGCCAAGCCCGUGAAUACAAGGGGUGUAUUAAUGGAAACCCUGAUACCAUCUUACUACAGUGGCCUCUCUGUAGCGGCAGACAAUGAUCUGUUGAGGGUUUUCCAGGGAUUCUGAACGUACAACCUUCUCACAAGCCCCCUUGGAAGGGGGCUGGCUGGGUGCUGAACAAUUCCUCUUCGCAAAGCAAGCCAAAAAAAAAAAAAAAAAGAAAGAAAGCCCCCCCCCCAAUACUAGCUUCUGGCAGGAGGCAAAAAAACCUAAGCACUGCGGGCUUAGGGAAGCUUAGACUUCCCAGACAAAGGAGGUAGUGGGCCACAGAGAGCUGGAUUAGACAGCCCCAGGACUCCUAACAUCAGCGUCAGGACCAGUUGGGAGAGAAGGAAAAGGGGAAGUCUAGAGGGCAGAUCGGCAAGGGUGAAGCCAGUCACUCCUAGCAAACCACAGGCGAGGUGUGGAGGAAGAUAACCAGAAACAUGGGCGGCUGCAUGCCUUCCAGAGGCUGGGCCGGCGUUAGGCUAUAGAGAAGGGGGGGGGGGAGCGGUCAGCAGUCAGCUCCCUUUUGCUCUGUUGCCAGAAGCAAUUUCAGGAGCCCAAAGAGGUGGGCAGACAGCUGUGGGGCAGAGACAGGCAUGCUAGAAUUCCCUCGAUCCUUUCUUUACAAGAAGGCCGGGAUGCUUGGGGAAUGGGAUCCUCGCUCAAACCAUUCACAGACCAACCAAAAGAAGGAACUCUUGAGCCAACUCUCCCAAAGCCACUUUCACGGGAAAGGGCCUUUUAGGAGAGCAGGCAGCCACUGGGCCCCUUCCCACCUUACUCUGGCUGUCUGUGGCCUGAACUUCGAGGACCCCUUUCUCAGAAUCUCAUCCUAGACUCAGCUACAGAUCUCUGCUCCGCACAAGCCCAUCUUAGAACGGUCCGUCAACACGAGCUGGUCCUCAGAUCCGAUCCGCUCUUACUGGCUUCAGUGCCCCCCGCGACUUUCCAACCUUUCCUUUCAAAACCUUCCCAAAUCCAUUCCUAGUCUACCUGCUUUGGUCGACUAGAGUCCUUGGGAGAUUCAGCGGCAGUCACUUCCACCCCUACCAAGCCAAUCUCGGCGCCUUCACUCCCUCUCCCGGCCCCAAAGAACCCAUGUCUCGGUUCUAGGUUCCGAUCCCAGAUUCAAACCGGCCUGGGGCCCUCGGUGCCCCCGAUUCUCGCGUCAGGGCCCCACUCUGGCUGCCAGCGCGCCGUCCCAGCACCCCCCUUCCCCCCGUUCCAAGGCGCUCACCUCUUCCAUACCCCGCACCAUGUCGCCGAGCUGUGCAUCGUCCUCCAGCAGCUCGUGCAGCUGCAUCAGCGACAGCCCCGCGAAGCGCGCCUCGCUCACGGCGCCCGCCAUCCCGCCACUCGGACGCUGCCGCCGCCGCCGCCACUCGGGCCGCCAAGCUCCGCCGACCGGAAGCGCCGCCCUCAAGCCCCACCCCUCGCGGGGGGGCACGUGACGCCAGCGCUGGGUGUGACGUCAUCGGCGCGCGAAAGCACAGCCCAGAGUCCGAGGCUUCAGAGGAGGAGCUGGAAGGGAUGGCGAGAGCCUUGUGACGCCAUCACGCGGUCAUGAUGUCACUAUGGUGGAGGCUCUAAAGGAAGUUCUAGUCUCCACCACGAAGCUUGCCUUAGGAGCCCUGGGGUUGUCCCUGUGUGCACUGCAUUCAGGGUUGGUCUGGAUCCAAAGUCUCACUCAUCCCCCGAGGCUGGAGCCUUUGGUGUCUCUCAGGGGUACGCAGGAAACUCUUCCCAUUCUGGGUAUGGCUGCUGCCUGUGGUGUGAAUCCUCCUGCACUGGUGACUG